rnacentral:rRNA from 1 species
GGGGAAUAUUGCACAAUGGGGGGAACCCUGAUGCAGCCAUGCCGCGUGAAUGAAGAAGGCCUUCGGGUUGUAAAGUUCUUUCGGUGACGAGGAAGGUUGGUAGGUUAAUAGCCUAUCAAAUUGACGUUAAUCACAGAAGAAGCACCGGCUAACUCCGUGCCAGCAGCCGCGGUAAUACGGGGGGUGCGAGCGUUAAUCGGAAUAACUGGGCGUAAAGGGCACGCAGGCGGUGACUUAAGUGAGAUGUGAAAGCCCCGAGCUUAACUUGGGAAUUGCAUUUCAUACUGGGUCGCUAGAGUACUUUAGGGAGGGGUAGAAUUCCACGUGUAGCGGUGAAAUGCGUAGAGAUGUGGAGGAAUACCGAAGGCGAAGGCAGCCCCUUGGGAAUGUACUGACGCUCAUGUGCGAAAGCGUGGGGAGCAAACAGGAUUAGAUACCCUGGUAGUCCACGCUGUAAACGAUGUCGAUUUGGGGAUUGGGCUUUGAGCUUGGUGCCCGUAGCUAACGUGAUAAAUCGACCGCCUGGGGAGUACGGCCGCAAGGUUA